rnacentral:rRNA from 1 species
ACUCAAAGGAAUUGACGGGGGCCCGCACAAGCGGCGGAGCGUGCGGUUUAAUUCGACGCGACGCGCAGAACCUUACCAGGGCUUGACAUGCGCCUGCAGAGCCGGGAAACCGGUUGGCCUUCGAGGGUGGCGCACAGGUGCUGCAUGGCUGUCGUCAGCUCGUGUCGUGAGAUGUUGGGUUAAGUCCCGCAACGAGCGCAACCCCCGUGGUCAGUUGCCGAUGUUUCUGACCAGACUGCCGGCGGCAAACCGGAGGAAGGUGGGGAUGACGUCAAGUCAGCAUGGCCCUUACGUCCUGGGCUACACGCACGCUACAAUGGUCGGGACAACGGGUCGCCAAGCCGCGAGGCGGAGCCAAUCCCCCAAACCCGGCCUCAGUUGGAAUCGGGGGCUGCAACCCGCCCCCGUGAACGUGGAGUCGCUAGUAACCGCGGGUCAGCACUACCGCGGUGAAUACGUUCCCGGGCCUUGUACACACCGCCCGU